AUUGAACGCUGGCGGCAUGCUUUACACAUGCAAGUCGAACGGUGUGAGGGGGCAACUCCUCAUUCAGUGGCGAACGGGUGAGUAAUGCAUCGGAACGUGUCCCGUAGUGGGGGAUAACGCCGCGAAAGCGGCGCUAAUACCGCAUACGCUCUACGGAGGAAAGCGGGGGAUCGCAAGACCUCGCGCUAGGGGAGCGGCCGAUGUCCGAUUAGCUUGUUGGUGGGGUAAUGGCUUACCAAGGCGACGAUCGGUAGCUGGUCUGAGAGGAUGAUCAGCCACACUGGGACUGAGACACGGCCCAGACUCCUACGGGAGGCAGCAGUGGGGAAUAUUGGACAAUGGGCGCAAGCCUGAUCCAGCCAUGCCGCGUGAGUGAUGACGGCCUUAGGGUUGUAAAGCUCUUUCAACGGUGAAGAUAAUGACGGUAACCGUAGAAGAAGCCCCGGCUAACUUCGUGCCAGCAGCCGCGGUAAAGUCAC
rnacentral:rRNA from 1 species